CUGGGCUACAUAGUGCAAGACCAGCUUAGACUAUAGCAAGAGCCUGUCUCAAAAAACCAAAGCAAAGACAAGCCUGCUGGUCCUGAAGUGAUCUCCUCCCAAGGGAUCAGCUGGGAUGGGACUCAAACCCAUCCUCCAACCUCCAGCCAGCCAGCCUGUGCCUCAGGGGUGGAGCAGUCUGGUCCCUGCACUCCAAGCUCAGGAGGAGGUGGGCUGGGACAAGAUGGAGGCGACAUUUGUCAGACAGCCCUGGCUCCGGAGGAUGCUCUCUUGGCUCUACCUUCCGGGCUUUUUUUUUCGCUUUUAUUUUUGUAAGGAGCAAAGAGUCUUAGAGAAAAAUGGUGACCCUUUCUCUGAAGAUCCAGGAUUUCCCCCGGCAGGCUGGUCUGAAGCGGCUCCAGGACGCAGGCUCUGGAGUGCGCCUGUCGUGACUUCCUCUAAACAUCUGGGGCACAGGAAAUGUCUGUCACAGACUGGCGUGGGGAGGGGACCUGCAGCUGCCACAGAGGCCUCCUACGGACGUCCACCUGCAUCUCUCCCCUUCCGAAGAGCCCCAGCGGCCUCGGAUCCGGUGGGCACCGCAGCGCGCCAGGGAUCCCACAGGACCGGGAGACGCCGGGAAACGCCUCGGUGACUCUGCCCAACUGUUUCUUGCUGCCAGGGUCUGUCCCCUAGAUGCUCCUCAGCUUCUGCCUGGGCCCUCUCUUCACUACGCUGCUCCCUGGCUGGUCUCUUCUGCUCCACCGCUUCAAGCACCACGUGCAGCCGGAGGGUUCCCAAGUGUCACCUUGUGCCUGGCUCUCCCCUCCCGACCUGGGUGACAUCUCUGCAGCAGCGCCAAGGGCCCUUGACUUCACCAUGGCCCAGCUGAACUUGUCAUCUUGUCACCCUGACACACCUGCUCCACCUCCAGGCCACCUGUCUCAGGGAAGGUUCCUUCAUCCGCCCAGGUGGUGACGUGAUCAAUCUGGUAUCAUCCUGGGCUCCUUCUCUCCCCAUCCAGUGCUGGGGAUUCUCCUGCCAGAACUCUUCCCCACGUGCCUCUGUUCAGGCCACUGUUACCUCUGGCUGCUCUACUGCCUACCCGUUGCUCUUGUCCCCUUCCAGGGUGUUCUCUGCAUCCAGUGAGGCCUGAACACAGCAGCACCCUGCACUGCUCCAGUCAGAGCAGAGCUCCUGGAAGGUGGGGGCACUUCCUGUGUGCAUGACACUGGCCCUGGAUCCCUGGGGCUGAGCCCUUGUCGGGUGUUCCAGGAACAUCUGCUACAGUCCCCUCGGAAGAAGCAAAGCUGCCGAUGGCCCCUCUGGACUCGCUCCAGGUUAAUCUCUAAGUGUGCUCCUUAUGGAAAUACAUGUUAAUAUAUGGUAA